rnacentral:lncRNA from 1 species
GAGUCACUCUUAACAAGACAGGAGAAAGCAGUUUCCUGCUUUCACGCCUUCCCUUUUUUCUUUUCUCUCUUCCUUCCUUCUUCCGUUCCUCUUCCUUCCCUCCCUCUUGACCUUCCUCUCUCCCUCCCUUCUUUCCUUCCUUCCUGUGGCUCUCCUUUGUGAGUGACCUACCUCCGCUUCCUACUCUGUGACUUUGCACAUUCAAUCAUUGCCUGGCUCCACCAGCAGUAUAUAAGGUGAAAGAGGAUCCUGCCAGCUGUUCUAGGCCCAGAGGACACCUCUCUCUCUCUCUCUGUCACUCACACACACACACACACACACACACACUCUCUCUCUCUCUCUCACACACACCCACUUAUUGAUGGGGUAAUAGGAUCAAGAGGUAGCUUUGCAUCAUCAAAAAGAAGUCAGUCAUUCUAGCCUGGAGCUUUAGAAGACGAAGUAAAAAAGAAGUCAGACAGUCCUAGCUUUGAAUCCUGGCCCAGCCACUUACUAGGUGGGAGACCUUGGAUGAGGAAACUGAGGCUGAAACAGGCAAUUAAUUUGUGCAGGUGGCACGUUUACUACAUGGUGGAACCAGGAUCUGAACUCAAAUUUGUCUGUGAAUGUUUUCAGAAUAUUCACCUACAUGUUGCCCAAAGUCAAGGCUGCCCUGGGGCAGUGUGUAUACCUGAAUGACAAUCAGUACAGGCACUGAGGGAAGGGAGAACCGAUGCUGGAGAGGCAAGCAUAACUGCCACUGUUAACUUUGUGACCAAACUUCAUGUCUUGUGGCCUAAAGGACAAUCGUAUCCCUUCUGGGGGAAUUUCCCCACCUCCAUGUUGAAGCCAAGGAUGACUAGUACUCCAUGGAAAAGAGGUCAACAUGAUAACCAGGAGAUGUGGUCAUGGGGCAUUAAAAGGUUCGAAGCUGUUCCAGAAAGGAUGUCAUUGAUGUGGAAUACAGAUCCCACAAAUUAGUGAGAACAUGCAACUCUUGUCUUUCGGUGCCUGGCUUAUUUCACCUGACAUAAUGAUCUCCAGUUCCAUCCAUGUUGUUGCAAAUGACAAGAUCUUCUUUUUCGUGGCUGAAUAGUACUUCCAUUGUGUCAAGCAAGAACAGACAUUCAAUGAAUGAAUACAUUUCUUCAAAGCCCAUAAUCCAAGUGAAUAGCAGGAUUCAUCUAUUCAUUCAAGAUGUUUCCUGGAUUCCAGCUCCAUGGU